CAGGAUCUAAGCUUGCCUCCAGGCUCAAGGCUGUUUGAAAUCCAGUGUGUUCCUGACCUUCCCAGGUUGAAUUUCCAUGGGACAGCUGAAAUCUCCAGCACUGGUGUAAGGCUGAAGCUGGCUGGCUACCCUGCUCAAGGGAGGGUUUCAUAGAGAGAAGGAAGCUUCUUCUAAAGCUGCAUCCAGGAGUUGGACUCAAAGGCCUUUAUGAUUCCCUUCCAACUUGGGAUAUUCUGGUUCUGUCUCCACUGCACUGGGGGCUGGACAAGACAAUCUCCAGAGAUCCCUUCCAACCCCUAGGAUUAUGUGGGUCUGUGGAUGCUGAAUUGUUAGAGGCUGUCCUCUGUGCCACCCAAGAGCUCCUUGCAGACAUAAUUUUGAAGUCCUGGUCAAGGGUGCAAAGUGUCCAACUGUAGCAUAUGGCUCAUUUUUCUCUGAAGCACCAUGCCUGUGCUGUGCUGAAAUAUUUAGCAGAUAAGGAGCACUUGUUCCUCUGGACCUGAGAUGCCAAUUUCAUCCUGGACAGUUUUUUCCUGAAGUGAGGAUUUAGGGUGCUGAGGAAAGCCAUAAUCUCUCCUUUUGGUGCCCUCCUUGGUGUUUCGCUGAAGUUCAAUGGCUGACAACAUGCAGG
rnacentral:lncRNA from 1 species